UGUACAAGCGACGAUGAUUUCAAACAGCUCUGUUGUAUAGAACAUUUAUUUUUGAAAAAUGAUCACAACUUUCUAACUUCCUUUCAUUUCCUAGAGCAUUUUCAGAUUGUAAGAUGUUAGGUACUUCAUUUAAAAUUUGAUGCAUUUUAUCACAUGUAUAACGUUUUAUUUUUAUGAAAUCAUCUUUCUUUGAUGUUGUCAUCAUUUAACGUUGAUAAUAAAGUAAUCAUAGGCAUGUAAAACUAAAAGUUCAAAAUGGAAAUAUAUUUAAGGUAGCUCCAUACUUAGAUAGAAAAUGUCAAAAAUUAACGCACACAAAUGAAAUUUUAUCUGAAUAAAGGCUGAAGACUGCAUUUCCAGAAAACACAUAUAUUUUUAAUUCCCAAUUUUUAUUGUUUCGAAGAGCGCCCCCUAAUGGUACCUGCAUUUUGCACGGAAAAGUUAGUUUUAAAAAGUUAUAACUCAGGUGAAAAUGGUCCGAAUUCGAAUUUUCUACUCAUACGUAAAGAAAUUUUAUUUUGGAAGUUUCUAAAUAUUAACAAAAAAUCGAUUUUCAGACUAUAUAUAAAUAUUUAAAAAAACUCGCCGGCUUCGGGCUCAAAAGUACGUGUUAGUUUGCAUAAAAUAUCUCAUCACAUAUUUUAUUUUCCCGACGAUGAAAAGUUUUCAUUCUGUUAUAUCUCAUUCUUUGAUGUGUGUUCUUUAAAUUAACGAAAUAAAAAGGGUAUAUGUUCAUGGUGGAUAUUUCGUAAAAAAAAUAUUAAUAUGAUACACAAAAAAAAUCACGACAAAAAAAAACAACAACGUCCAUAACGCGAUUGCGGAUUUCUUUCUUCGUCAGCGCGGUUUGAUUAUCUUGUAAUACUAUUAUAAAAUAAAAAGCAUAUCUUUGAAUCAGACUUCUGGUUUAGAAAAUAAAAAGACGAAAAUAUUCGCUUUUAGCUGUAGUAAGUGUAUGUAUUUAUUAUCGCGUUGAUUGAUGGUAUGUUCUUUUUCUUUAGCGCUUACGUGUAAAAUAAUUCCAUGUAUGUUAAAUGUUAUACCGUCCGCUGAGCACACUAAAGUAUUAUCGCGAAUAGUACUUAUACAAUAAUGAUCUAAUUAAAAGUACCGAUAGUUGCUAAAAUAUAUCGUGUCCAAACGGACAUACAUAUCAAGACUGAUGUUUAGAUAUCAAUUAUAUGUAUGGGCAGCAUGCUCGGAACUGUACUAGCAUUGUAAGCAAUUUAACGGUCAUAAAAUCAUAAGACAAUUUUGGGAUCCAAAAAAUGCUCCGUGAAAUAACCUGAAGAUCAUGUUUUCGGUAGAGUUACGAAAUCUCACAAAAGUUAAACCGUAAAGGGAUUCGACUGAAGAACAAAGCAUAUUUUACGAGAUUGCAGUAUGCAUAAAAUAUGAUAUAUUUUUCAAAUGCCGCUAUUUCAGACCUGGAGCUGAUUAUUUCUAUGACGAUUUCAAAGUUUGUUUAUAUCAGGAUAUCCACUGAAUGUGUUUAAUUACUUAACUCGAACAGAGUUUUAGAAAUAUGUGGGAAUUAAGUUUCCUGCAAAUUUGCUAAUAGAUUUCUGAUUGAUAUUAUGUUUUCGAAGAAGUUGGAUUAAAAACAGUGAUAUCUAUAACAUCACAUCAGAAUUAGAAGAUUCUUAAGUUGAAUAGUAAUGAUUUCAAUAAUGAAAAACCUAGUAAUUUUAUAGUUUUCUUUUUUUUUUAUGUUGUUGUUUGUUUUUCAAGCUUGAUAUCUAUUGUUAAAUUCGGUACUUUACAGCAAACGUAGAAUUGACAGAUAAACCGCUUGUGAUUUUUAUAAGUAACAUAUAAAAUCAUGUGUGUUUCAACAAAACAUAUUUGAAUGAUUGCAGCAGAUAUAAGCGUUCAAACAAAAUUAACAGCACAUCAGCAAGUGUUAUCUCUUUUUGUGAAUGUUUAGAAAACAAUUUUCAUAAUAACAUCAUUUUUAAGUAAAACUUGGUACAAUCUCCUCGGGUAUUCCGAAUCAGUCUUAAAUGCGGUUCACUCUAAACGUUUUACUGCUGAUGACAACAAAUACUCAUGCAAAAAUUAGAAAAAAAAAUGUUGAUAAUCUUUAAGCAAUAAACAUCUGUGCAGAUUAAACAACCAUAGGUUAUAACGUUGAGCUAUUUUUGAUAAUAAACACAGUAUAAUUGAGUCAAGAUGCUAAUACAUGUAUUUAUCAAGAAAAAACGGAGCUAUUUUAUUCAAAAGAUGCUUACAUUAUUGUCACCACAUUCAUUUGAACAUGUCUGGAAUUCAUGUCAAUAGUUAGCCUGGACCAUUUUAUAUGCUAUUAUGUGUUACACUGAACGGCGAUUUGUUUCAAUGUUGAAAUUGUAACAAUAAAUUUAAACAGCGUUCAUUAUGGCCUUACGAUAUUCUUUAACUUUUACUCAUCAUUUUAUGUUAUCUGAACGAAUAUAAAGUUUUUCUUAGCAUUCUGAAGUAUAUUUCAUAAAGCUAGUAUCGCUGGGCAGAUUCUACAAGUAUAACUGACUAAUGGCAACAGUGAUUCGGAAUACACUGAUAUUACUCGAAAUAGCCGAUGUCAUGGAAAUCGGGAAAUCUACAUAUUAUGCCAACGUGGUAUAAGUUGGUUGUGUGAACUGCAAACAGUCCCAGAAAUGUCGGCAACUAAAAUGAUUCUAGCUGAGAAAAUAAUUACCUACACCAAAGAAACUAGAGAUUUGAUGGUAGUACAACAAACCAACCAGAAACACUACAUAAACAAAGCGACAAUUAGUGUUUUUCAGACUGACUUCAAAUAUUUAACUAAGUACUUUGUGGAAAGCGUAAAUGGCAGUCCAGCAACCGUUGAUGUAGCUAAAACAUCACAGGACAAUUUUAGCGAGAAGUAUUACAAACAACGUAUGAUAUAAAAAUGAAAGUGUAUUUGUGUGUCCAUAUGCAUGCAUGCUUGCAUUCCAGUAUAGUCUAAAGCAAUACAAAACCAGUAUACAACAAUAGCAUAAUGUUCUAUUCCAGUAAAGUCUAAAGCGAUACAAAUCCAGUAUUCAACAAUAACAUAUGUUCUAGUCUAAAAAUUAAAAAGUACAAUAUAUUUCUUUGCAUAUUUUGUUCGAACUACAAGUAGCGAGUUGAAACUAUUAUAAAUAUAAAGAUAGUCUUCAGCUGAAUAUGUUUUUUUCAGAAGCUGGUAAUCUCGUUUCACCAUUUCCUUAAGCAAAAAGUUCAUCUUCCAUUGUCCUUAUUGCCUAUGAAAUAAAUGACAUUUUUUGUCUAUUCUGUGUUCAAUAUUAACAUGUGGGUGUUAUUUAAGGACAAUACGUUGAUGAAGAUAAUGGUGUUAGCUCUCUGUGGCUAUUCAGAUUCUUUCCGUAAAGUAUUUAAUUUCCUUUCAUUGAUCAACCUUUUAACCCCAUCAAAUGAAAUAUAAAGUGUUAGGGCGUUAGUCGCACCCAUGACGUAACCGAAAAACAUGGUUUGAAAGAACAUUUCAUCAACAGUCCAAACAUAAACACGAAAGAUACUGUAUCUUGUGCAAAAUUUACUUUCUCAAAAGUAUUUUGUAGUUUGUAAAGCAAAACUAUGAUUUAGCAAUGAAAUUUAAUUAUUCAAAAUGCAUUUAUCCGUUACAGGCAUUCUUUUAGAUGAUACCAUGCAUCAUGUCAGCAGAAGGGCAGGUUAUCGCAAGUUCCAACAGUAGUAUAGUCAAUAUUUGAGCUAGGAAAAAAUUGUCAUUAAAGAGAUAAAGGUUUUCCAUUCUAAGGUAACGACACAGCGAGAGGAAUACAAUCUCCCUUUUUAAGCUUCAAAAUUCCAGGCUAUAAAUUUACGGUAGGCGCAUGUAGUGAGCAAAAACCCUUUUAUUAGAAUUAUAUAUUAUCGUUCUAUAAAACAGGUCUUUUGAAAUGUCAGUUGUUUGUUUAUAUUUCAGGUUUUCAUGCAUUUGUCUCGAUUAGUUUAUCCAAAUGAUAACACAUAUAGUUUGUGGAUGCCACCAAGUCCCAUGUCUUUUUACAAUUCCUUUGAUGUAGAGAUAGUACUUAAGUUUUUCAAAUCAUAGGUUUGAAGUUAAAAAGCUUUGAAAUGAAGACAAAUGUCCAUAUAUUUCUCAAAAACAGAAAUAUAGACAAUAUUUUAACCAGAAGUGUGGAGUUAUGAGCAUAUAAUAUUUUCAUGUUAACGAAAAUUUUGUGAUCAAGGAAAUGUAAGUCUUCUUGAACAUGGAGAGCAUAAACAUCAAAGGGACAUAAUAUAGUCAAUAUUUUCUAAUUGGGUGCAUUUGAUAUAACAUUCAAUUUUUAUCUGGAUUGCUAAAUAAAGAUCCAUGAUACUGUGUGCUAAAAAUUUAGAACAUCUAGAACAGUCUAUUAACAGCAAAACUAUGCUUUAGCAGAAUCUAAAUAGUUAAGCUCUAACUGGGACUCGAACCCAGGACCUCUCACGCCUAAGGCAGACACUCUACAACUUCCCUAUAACAGCAGUAGCUAAUAGCUAUGCAGUUUAAUUGCUGAAUUACAUUGCGUGAACUGGAACAAUAAUCGGUGAACUCCGGAUUAUCGGCGUAUUCGAUUUGCUACCUAACGGCAAUUUUUGUGUAAAGAAAAAAUAUAAUCUAAUGCUGCCAACGUCAUAAUCGGUCAAAUUUGCCCAAAUUUCUCUGACGUGUUGUUCAGAGUAUGAACUUAUUAACUGGUAGUACCAGUGAAACAUUACUUACACUGAAUCUUUUAUAUUUGCCCUUUUUGCAGCUGUCGAUCGGCAAAGACGGUGAGUUUUGUCCAAAUAUAAGUAAUUAUUUUACCAGUUUUGAGAGGAUUUUAAUUGAUGGGAAAUUACAGUUACAAACUAAAUACCUUUCUGCAACACAUGGAGUCAUUAGCAUUCACUGUCAAUCAGUAUUAUGACUAAGAUCGACUGUCAUUAAUUCCUUUCAAAGUUUCAUAGACAGAGUCCGUUGUUUACAUUUUUAUCGUAACCGGUGCACUUGUAAAGAUCACUUUAGUUUGAAAAAUCAAAGUAUGCGAAGAGCUAUUGUACGGUCUCUAUUUGAUGUAUAUUCCCGUCAGGUUUAAUGGAUGUUGAACGAAGAAACUCUUAAUGCACUUAAUGAAAUGCAGUAUAUGUGUACCUUUGUUAUUGUUAGCGUUUUUGUAAGCUUAACGGGUUGGAGACAGAGUACAAAAUAUUCUAAAGGAUUUUAUAGAUAUAUUCCUCUUUUCAAUGAAUAUGCUUGCUGUACGAUUUUUCAUGCAAAGAAAAAUACUGCCAAUUGGAUUCAUCUCACAUGAGUAAAAGCCUAGCGAGAAAUGACACUUCUAAUAAAGAUCACGAAAAGUCUUUCCACUUACAUAUAUAUUUUUAUAUUGUUUUCAUCCUAACGUACUUAUUAAUUAAUUACACACGAAUAUUAUUUGUAUACUAAGUGACACGGUAUAGAACUUGAAUAUACAAAACGGGAAGAAAGUCUGUAGGCGAUCGGGUAGCUCAAUCUGUAGAGCAUAGGAACGGUAUUCCAAGGCCUCGGGCUCGAGUCCCUGUUUGGCUGCACAUUUUUUCUCACCUUGUGACAUUUGGCGCCCAACGUGGGGCAUAGGAUGAGAAAAAUGUGCAGCCAGACCGGGAUUCGAACCCGGGGCCUUGAAAUACCGUUGCGAUGCUCUACCGACCGAGCUACCCAGCCGCCUACACAUUUUCUCCCCGUUUUAAUACUUACGUUCUAUACCGUGACAUAAGUAGUAAUUUUCACUAACACUUGCGGUAGAAAACGUUUCACGCUUUUUUUCAUAUUAAACACCUUUAAUUCAAGUUUAUUGUCUUAGUCUUGAAAUUAAGAAUUGCAUUUUCGACUUUAUUCCUAGUAAAUACUUCUCUUCACUUGGUAAUGUCAUCAUCUAUUGAUAAGAGUAUCAACAUGUUUUUGCUAAAAAUAAUUAUACUUCUACAAUUAGAGUCGCAGAUGUCUGUUUUCAUGAAAUAUACUGUAUUUCAAUGAACAGUAACAGUAAAAUAAAUGAUAUUUGUUUGGAUUUAUUUAAUAUUAGCAAUUAGAAAUGUUAGUAAAUGUUCGAAGUAUAUAAUUCGUAUCGUAUGUUCAAGGAUUUUUGUAAGAAACAGUAAAAGAGUUAUUUUCUAAAACGAAAUAUUUUCGUAUUAGCCGCUUUCAUAAGUCCUAAAAUUUCAGAGCAAAGAAUUAAUGUGUUAGGCGAAAUCGAAUCCUCCUCUCUACAACCUCUUUCAAGGUAGAAAAAAAAUCAGAUAAAUGACCAUUUUGCAAAAUACAAGUUUCACUUCCAUUCUGAUAUAAAAGAUAUCCAUUUUUUAAGGAGAGGCCAAAAUUAAAAUAAUUAAAAGAAGAAGAGGAGAAGAAGAAGAGUUAAGUUUUUGCAAUUAUAUAAAAAGUGAAAACGUAACAGAAAUCCGACAUCUCUCGACAUAAUUAUAUCUAUAAAGCUUUUCAAUUGAGAAAUAGGUAGUCGAAUGAAUAUUAAUGUUAGAAACAUCAUAGAUACUUACACCUAGAAAAUUUUAUUGAAGACCCAUGUCGUUGUCAAAAUAUAAUCUCUUCUGUUUUUGUCAUAUUGUAUUGUAUUGUGAAAGGCAAAACAUUUUCAUGUUAUUUUGUCUCUCCCACAAAAAGCAAUUUCUGCAUUUUUAAAACUAAAUGAUUUUGGUGUUUGUAUUUUCAGGGUAUUAGAUUUGAAAUGUCUUGCCAUCUUGCCAUCUGAAUACAUGUAUUUAUCAUGCUAUGCUCAUAGAUCUUUUAAGAUUUCAUGCAUGAUAUUCUUCUUCUUCUUCUUCUGUUUCUUUUUUCUCCUAAAUUCUCAUAUCUGCAUUUUGAUCUUAUCAUUACUCCCUCAAUAUAUUUCUCCUUAAAGUUUCUAAUUCGUAUUUUUUGUUGCAGGUCCAAACUUAAAACAUUGUCUCCUGUUUGAAAGUUAUCAUUUAAUUGCUUCUCAUGUUUUUUUUAGUAUCUACAUCUAAAUAUAUCUCUUUCUUUUAUUCUCUAUUCUUUUUCUCAGAACAAUAUUUAAUAGUUUCGCCCAUGAUAAUAACUAAAAACGUUUCUAAUAAAAGUUGAUAAUUGAUAUCGAACUUGAUACUUUCAUGUUUAAAAGAAGUUCCAUUUGCAUUUUCCUCUUGCCUAUCAUUAAUUUGGACUUCCAAUUUAUGUUGUCCAGAUAGAUUCUUCAAUGUAGAAUUGACUAAAUUGUACACUUCAUCUUUCAGAAGAGAAUUAUUAAACUUCCAGUACCUUUUACCGCGGACAUAAUCGUUAAAAUAAUUACGUGAAGUAUUUCCAUUUAUAUCAGACCUAUAUCUAGGAUUAAUGUUUUAAUCAGCUAUGGAAUUCAUUACACUUUCUUUUAUAAAUUUACAUUUUUGAGUCGGCUAAAGGCUGAAAGCCUUUUGACGAGUCCUUGCUGUUCAGCGAUUCUCUAAAUGGACCGAAUAACACGUGAAGGGAUGUAGUUCCAUUAGAUUUCUCAAACUUCAAACAGUUCACUGCAUGAAUGAAGUUAAGUUGUGUCAAUUCCCUUUGUUAUUACCAAUAUACGAUGUAAUCUGUCAUAUUUAUGACUUGUAAUUGUGCAAUACUCGAAUGUAACUCAUUAAGCAUAAAUGUGCAUUUUAAGAAUUGCGCAGGCUUACAUGUACAAAGCUUUGGUAACAUCCAGCGGAAGACAAAAAAUAGUUCCACAAGGCUCCAGAUAAGAUGCGUAUUAGCGUAAAUUACGUGUAGAAAUAAUGCAAAUACGCAUGUCUAAUAAUUUCUAAGCGUAUAAAAACGUAUAUAAAAUUACAGAAACGCACACAAUGCUUUUUUGAAAACAAAAUCUGAAUCGUCUGGAUGCGUUAGGUAACAUAGCCGAUCAGCCUUAAUUCUCCCACAUUGAACGUAAACACGCAUCGUAUGAUUUCUAUAAACUUUGCGUGGGUUGAAUUUUGCAGUCAGUAAACGGAUAAAUUAUCGGAAGAAGAAGCUCUUACUGGUUUGUUUAGUUACUACUGAUAUUAAAAAUGAUUUUAAUUCUUAUUUUUCGAGAAAUAAACCAAUCGGCGAAACAUUAAAUUGUAUUUUCUUGUAGUUUUUGAAAUCGAAAGUAGAUCGUCUAUGUUUGGCUGCUUUCACGAAACGAAACAACUUUUUUAUGAAAAGAUUUAAAUAAGAGGUAAUUUAACCGUAAACUUCAAUGUCAGAUACUGCCAAUUGCUGCUAAAUGUCUUCGUAUCAUCACAAUUUGUAAAAUAUAUUGUUGAAACUGGAGAAAAGUGUAAUCGUAUCCGGAUAUAAUAUUUUGGGUAAAUAUCGAGCUGUGUUAUGAAAUUUUAAGAAAAAAAACUAAAAACAAACUGAAACUGGUAGACUAUACUGUCAGUACAUCAAUCAUUAGCCGACUCAGGCCCUUCAGGCCUUUGAUUUUUAAUUUGUAUUUUAAAAUGUAUCGUAUAAUUUUAUGCAACUUAUUGUAUAUUGAUGAGACUUAAUAAAUAAAUAUAUAAAUAAAUAAAUAUACAAAAUCACUAAAAUGAUAAGGCUUGUACAGAUGAAUUAAUCAGCGCUUCAUUGGUUCAGUGUUUUUAUUGUAAAAUGAAUUUUAUUGACAUCGUAACUCAUUUACUUCUUUUCUAUUGCUCAUGUCAUACAUGAAUUCAUGUGACUUCAGUUUAUAACAAAUCGUUACUGCCAUCUCAAUGCUUUACUGAUUUAAAAUAAAAUCACUUUACAAAGUUCGGCUUUGGGAUAACGCUUAGAUCAGUAGUAUCUUUUUUUAUUUUCAAACACAAACUUCUACCACUUCAUAGACCUUUGAUUUUCGUAACGAGUAUAUACUGAUUAGUUCAAAAGAAAUAGAAGAGGCUCUCAAGAGAGGUUGUUCUGUUUGGAACAACAUAUUUUUUCUUGUCAUACCUCAUUGCUAUGUUGUGUAGAAUUUUGAAACUUUUUGUACAAGCUUUUGUUAGACUUUAUCUAAGCGGUGAUUACAUUCAUAUAAAGGUUCUCCAAAUGAUGAAAGCUGAUUCACUUGAAAACAACAAUCUUUUUGAUGAAAAUGAUAUACAAUAGUUGAAAUUUGGACAGCUUUAAAUUUCAUUUUGCUAUUUCAAUAAAAUUUUUGUUGUUAAUUUGCCGACACAUAUUACAAAAUUCCCCGAUGUAAUCGCUUCUUUAACUUUUAGCAAAUAUUUAUCUAACAGGUAUCACCGUGACUGUUUUGUGUUAAAUUAGAACUAAGAAUUUGAUGCACUAUUUUAUGUAUAAAUGUAAAUUUUAGUGUGUCAAAACGUCUGUGUUGCUAAGGGGUAA